AUUGAACGCUGGCGGCAGGCCUAACACAUGCAAGUCGAGCGGUAGCACAGAGAGCUUGCUCUCGGGUGACGAGCGGCGGACGGGUGAGUAAUGUCUGGGAAACUGCCUGAUGGAGGGGGAUAACUACUGGAAACGGUAGCUAAUACCGCAUAACGUCGCAAAACCAAAGUGGGGGACCUUCGGGCCUCAUGCCAUCAGAUGUGCCCAGAUGGGAUUAGCUGGUAGGUGGGGUAACGGCUCACCUGGGCGACGAUCCCUAGCUGGUCUGAGAGGAUGACCAGCCACACUGGAACUGAGACACGGUCCAGACUCCUACGGGAGGCAGCAGUGGGGAAUAUUGCACAAUGGGCGCAAGCCUGAUGCAGCCAUGCCGCGUGUAUGAAGAAGGCCUUCGGGUUGUAAAGUACUUUCAGCGGGGAGGAAGGGAGUAAAGUCAAUACCUUUGCUCAUUGACGUUACCCGCAGAAGAAGCACCGGCUAACUCCGUGCCAGCCGCCGCCGUAA
rnacentral:rRNA from 1 species